CCUACUCUCUCUUCAACUUUCUCAACUCUCUCUCUAACUAAACCCACCGGCCACCACCACAUGCGCCGACUACCACCACCUGUUUGCCACCCCCGUCAGGAUCCACCACCAGCCACCCCCAUUUACUCGAUUUUGUCGUGUUGGCCCAAUCAGGGGGUCAUCGGAGCAAGGGCGAACUCAAAAUCGACUUUAGGGUUUACUCGUGAACGCAAAUUCGAAGAUGGUUGGAGACCCUGCGAUCAGAGAUCCAUCGAGAAGUUAUUCUGGUUGGUCAAUAUUAAGGUUUCGUCAUUCACAGAUCUACAUUAUCAUAAAAUUAGGGUUUCAAAAUCUCCAUUCAGAAAACAUAAACAACUUCUAUAGAUCAAUCGUCAAGCUUGUUCGGUGAAAUCGCUUCCGGUUAUGGAGAUGGAACGUGUUACCGAGUUUCUGAUGAGUCAGCUGGAUCUCAGGUCGAGAAAACGACAGCGUUUGGGCUGGGAUGUGGCUCCUCUCAUGCCAAAGGUAGAAACAUUAGGUUUGCCUUGUCGGAUAAGGAACUAAUAGAAGAGGAAUACCGAAAGAAAUUUGAGGAGUCGAAGAAAAAGGAAGUGUCUUUUGGAAAAUGAUUUGGCAAACAUGUGGGUUCUUUUUGCUCAGCUGAAGAAAGAAGCAAAGGGUUCUGUUACUUCUGUAACUGUUCCUGAAUCAAACAGUAAUGAAAAUGUGAAUCAUACUGAGAAAUCUGAAAAUGUGAAUCACCUAAAAGUAGAAAACGGUGAUUGAAAUAAUUUUGUGGUUAAAGAGAGCAACAUCUUGAAUGUUUCACAAACAACACAGAAUGUGACUAAAGAAGAGCCCCUUGUUGCUCGUUUGAAGGCUCGAAUGCAAGAGAUGAAGGAAAAGGAGGUUAAUUAUGUUAGAAAUGGAGAUGCAAAUUCUCAUGUAUGUAAAGUAUGCUUUGAGUCACCAACAGCAGCCAUACUUCUUCCAUGCCGCCAUUUUAGUUUGUGUAAAUCUUGUUAAUUAUGGUGGAGGUAGUUGCAGGUUGUGGUGGGUUGUGAUGGUGAAGGAGGUGGUGGUGUUUGAGAUUUUUGAGGGAGAGGUUGAAGAUGAUGAUGAUCAGUGGGCUUUAUAUAUUUUUUUAUUUCUUUUAAUUGUUCAAUGGUA